GGAAGUUGUGUUCAUUUCAUUUCUCUGUGGGGCGGCUGCCCCCCUCCUUUGCUCUCUCUCCCUCUUUCCCUUUCUCUGAGUCUCUGCUUGGAAGGGCAAACUGUUAAGCCUUGCAGGUUCCCUUUCAUGAAAAGGAGCCACCGUGAGCAGCGUCCGCGACAGGAGGCCACGGCUCCGCAGUUGAGCCACGGCCCUGCUUCCACCUUCUGGAGGAGUGCUUUGCUCGGAAGGGGCCUCCCUGGGGCCUUGGAUUUGCUUUUUCCUGCAUUUCUCCCGAAAUGCUGUUUCAGUAGAAAUAAGCCCACUUGAGACUUUUCCCCUUUCAAGGCCUUAGCCACAAACGCCUUCCGACUAACGAGCUUGGUGCUGUAGCUCAGGCCGAAAAUUCUAAAGCAUCCGUUCAAGCAUCUGAAACAAAUGAAUCAGCCAGUGAAAUCUCAUCUGUUAGCAUCUGUUCUUCUCUUAGAUUAAAAAAAUUAAAAAAAAAAAAGCCUUUUAUGGCUUUUGAUGGAAUCUGCUUUAAAAAAAGACCAAAAAAAAAAAAAAAAUCCUGCUACUAAAUCUUUAAGCUAAGGUGACUAAAUAACAGGGCUCCAAUACUCUAGAGUUUCAGUAUCUGUGGAGUAUCCCAUUUGCCUCAGUCUUUAUGCCCGAGUCUCUCCAAGGAGGCCACAUCGGGGCUGAGAGUCACUCACUUCUGGUCCACCACCCACCUUUCCGCUGUGCCACCUACAUCAUCAGCUGUCAGCUGGGGCUUAUUCUCUACAAGCUUAAGCCCAACUUCCAAACAGGGGCUGGAGAGAAGGCUGGCUUUAAUGGUGAUGACGCAUGGACAGAUGGAAACUGCACACUCACUCAGACCACAGAGGCCAGAGGACACCAGGUGCUUUGAUCUCCAACCCACAUGUGGAUCCAGGAGCUCCUCAAGCCCUCUCCCCCAUGUAGAAGGGGCACUGCGGUUGGUCUGAACAGAGGGAGGCCGGAUGGAGCCCCCAGGGUUGACAACCAGAGUGCAUCUGUGUGCCCUUGAAAACCACUCCAUUGCAGGGAGGUGGGGGAGCAGAGAAGGUGGGCCAGCUCGGAUUGAGCUCAGACAGACUGCAUUCUACACAGCACAAGCACGCACUGGCCUACAUCCUGAUGCCUGCGCUCACCCCCGAUGCCCCCACUCCACUUUCCAUUAGCAAUUGGGUCAUGGCACCCCCAGCGCAGGAAUGGGCAAUGCACCCCACUUUGUGCCAGACCAUGCCCACUUCGGGGAGCUUCCUUGAGGGUCUGUGUACUCAUGCCAGCAAUGUAGCUGAUCAAUUUCUCCUCCCACUGCCAUGGGACCCAUUUCCCUAACUGCCAUGUCAUCCUGGAAUAUUUCCUCAAUGCAGAAAGGAAGUGCCUCGUCGUGCUAAUUAAAUGUAGAGUGACAAAUCACAUUUAAAGCCCUUUCUGGAGCAGAGGAAGCCAAAAACGUAAUGAGAAUUAUCCUUCAAGGAGACAAAAAUUUUCUGUUUUUAAUGUCUGCUGCAGAAUCAAAGGUAUUUUCAGAAUAUAUCUGUCAGAAUUAUGAACACAACUUAAUUUUCUAGGCUGGCUACUCAACAUAAAUUAUAGUCACAGCCUCAACUCCCAGUGGAACCAUGUGAAAAUAUGUUGAUAUUAGCAUCCAAUUGAAAAUAUUUUAAUUUCACCAAGGAAAAGAAACUUUCUAUAAACAAUGCCACUGAAUCAGGAGAAAAACAUUAUUGUGACACAAUGUAACAGAGCCUUUUAACCCACACCAUAUAAAUGUAGCUUUAGCAUUGUUUGAACCUUCAACUUAAAGAUUCAGUGAAACCCA